UCUCUUGGAAUAGCUGGUGUCUGCUGUUAUAGAAUACGGAGGGAAGCGAGUUCGAGGGAGCGACCUCUUCAGUCCCAAGGAUGCGGUGGCUAUCACCAAACAGUUCCUCAAAGGGCUGAAGGGAGUUGAAAACGUGUACACCCAACACCAGCCGUUGUUGCACGAGACCCUCGACCAGCUGAUCAAGGGAAAACUGAAGGACAGUCAGUACCCCUACCUCGGUCCCAGCACGCUUCGUGACAGGCCGCAAGACAUCAUCGUCUUUAUCAUCGGAGGGGCGACCUAUGAAGAAGCCCUCACCGUUUACAAUCUGAAUCGCACCACCCCCGGGGUCCGGAUCGUGCUGGGCGGUACCAUUAUCCACAACACAAAAAGGUAAGCUGAGCUUUGAAGC